CGUAAACAACCUGCCUUAAGGAUGGGGAUAACAGACGGAAACGACUGCUAAUACCGAAUACGUUCUAAGCAUCGCAUGGUGCAUAGAAGAAAGGGUGGCCUCUACAAGAAAGCUAUCGCCUUAAGAGGGGUUUGCGACUGAUUAGGUAGUUGGUGAGGUAACGGCUCGCCAAGCCGACGAUCAGUAGCCGGUCUGAGAGGAUGAACGGCCACACUGGAACUGAGACACGGUCCAG
rnacentral:rRNA from 1 species